AAGCGUUGGAAACGACGUCUAAUACUGGAUAUGAUCACUGGCCGCAUGGUCUGGUGGUGGAAAGAUUUUUUGGUUGGGGAUGGACUCGCGGCCUAUCAGCUUGUUGGUGAGGUAAUGGCUCACCAAGGCGACGACGGGUAGCCGGCCUGAGAGGGUGACCGGCCACACUGGGACUGAGACACGGCCCAGACUCCUACGGGAGGCAGCAGUGGGGAAUAUUGCACAAUGGGCGAAAGCCUGAUGCAGCAACGCCGCGUGAGGGAUGACGGCCUUCGGGUUGUAAACCUCUUUUAGUAGGGAAGAAGCGAAAGUGACGGUACCUGCAGAAAAAGCACCGGCUAACUACGUGCCAGCAGCCGCGGUAAUACGUAGGGUGCAAGCGUUGUCCGGAAUUAUUGGGCGUAAAGAGCUCGUAGGCGGUUUGUCGCGUCUGCUGUGAAAUCCCGAGGCUCAACCUCGGGCUUGCAGUGGGUACGGGCAGACUAGAGUGCGGUAGGGGAGAUUGGAAUUCCUGGUGUAGCGGUGGAAUGCGCAGAUAUCAGGAGGAACACCGAUGGCGAAGGCAGAUCUCUGGGCCGUAACUGACGCUGAGGAGCGAAAGCAUGGGGAGCGAACAGGAUUAGAUACCCUGGUAGUCCAUGCCGUAAACGUUGGGCGCUAGAUGUAGGGACCUUUCCACGGUUUCUGUGUCGUAGCUAACGCAUUAAGCGCCCCGCCUGGGGAGUACGGCCGCAAGGCUAAAACUCAAAGGAAUUGACGGGGGCCCGCACAAGCGGCGGAGCAUGCGGAUUAAUUCGAUGCAACGCGAAGAACCUUACCAAGGCUUGACAUACACCGGAAACGGCCAGAGAUGGUCGCCCCCUUGUGGUCGGUGUACAGGUGGUGCAUGGUUGUCGUCAGCUCGUGUCGUGAGAUGUUGGGUUAAGUCCCGCAACGAGCGCAACCCUCGUUCUAUGUUGCCAGCGGGUUAUGCCGGGGACUCAUAGGAGACUGCCGGGGUCAACUCGGAGGAAGGUGGGGAUGACGUCAAAUCAUCAUGCCCCUUAUGUCUUGGGCUUCACGCAUGCUACAAUGGCCGGUACAAAGGGCUGCGAUACCGUAAGGUGGAGCGAAUCCCAAAAAGCCGGUCUCAGUUCGGAUUGAGGUCUGCAACUCGACCUCAUGAAGUCGGAGUCGCUAGUAAUCGCAGAUCAGCAACGCUGCGGUGAAUACGUUCCCGGGCCUUGUACACACCGCCCGUCAAGUCAUGAAA
rnacentral:rRNA from 1 species